GAUGAACGCUAGCGGUAGGCUUAACACAUGCAAGUCGAGGGGCAGCACAAGGUAGCUUGCUCUCUGGGUGGCGACCGGCGCGCGGGUGCGUAACGCGUAUGCAACUUGCCCUAUACAGGAGGAUAACCCGUCGAAAGACGGACUAAUACUGCGUAUGCUCACAACUUGGCAUCAAGUGGUGAGGAAAGAAAUUCGGUAUAGGAUAGGCAUGCGUCCCAUUAGCUUGUUGGUGAGGUAACGGCUCACCAAGGCAACGAUGGGUAGGGGAACUGAGAGGUGUACCCCCCAGAACGGUACUGCGGCCCAGACCACACUGGGACGGGACGCAGGAGUGAGUAAUAUAGGGCACGGGGCCCGAGCCUGAACCAGCCAAGUGGCGUGAAGGAGGACUGUCUUAGGGAUUGUAAACUUCUUGUAUACGGGAAUAACAAGAGUCACGCGUGACUUCCUGAAUGUACCGUAUGAAUAAGCAUCGGCUAACUCCGUG
rnacentral:rRNA from 1 species